rnacentral:rRNA from 1 species
AGCGAACGCUGGCGGCAGGCUUAACACAUGCAAGUCGAACGCCCCGCAAGGGGAGUGGCAGACGGGUGAGUAACACGUGGGAACGUACCCUUUGGUUCGGAAUAACUUGGGGAAACUCAAGCUAAUACCGGAUAAGCCCUUAUGGAGAAAGGUUUACUGCCGAAGGAUCGGCCCGCGUCUGAUUAGCUAGUUGGUGAGGUAAUGGCUCACCAAGGCGACGAUCAGUAGCUGGUCUGAGAGGAUGAUCAGCCACACUGGGACUGAGACACGGCCCAGACUCCUACGGGAGGCAGCAGUGGGGAAUAUUGGACAAUGGGGGCAACCCUGAUCCAGCCAUGCCGCGUGAGUGACGAAGGCCUUAGGGUUGUAAAGCUCUUUUACCCGGGACGAUAAUGACUGUACCGGGAGAAUAAGCCCCGGCUAACUUCGUGCCAGCCGCCGCAGUAA